UACGUAGGGGGCGAGCGUUGUCCGGAAUUAUUGGGCGUAAAGGGCGUGUAGGCGGCCUUGCAAGUCAGGGGUGAAAACCCGGGGCUCAACCGCGGGAUCGCCUUUGAAACUGCGGGGCUUGAGUGCUCUAGAGGGCAGUGGAAUUCCCGGUGUAGCAGUGAAAUGCGUAGAGAUCGGGAGGAACACCAGUGGCGAAGGCGGCUGCCUGGGGAGCAACUGACGCUGAGGCGCGAAAGCUAGGGGAGCAAAC
rnacentral:rRNA from 1 species